UGAUACCAGAGCCAAAAAGUCUGAAGCCACAGGAGCUUGCUCAUAAGUGGCUGUAAGACUUUGGGGCUCGCCCCAAUAUGAGCAUAAAAGUGGGAUUUUAAUCCCGCGAUAUGCGAAUAGUGGGUAGGAUUACGGGAGUGCGUUAGCACAUAGUAAUCCGUUGGUAUCA
rnacentral:sRNA from 1 species